UUGCUUGCUUUUGCAGCACAGGUACUAAAAUUGGAAUGAUGCAAAGAAGAUAUUAGCAUGGCUCAAAUGCAAGGAUGACAUGCAAAUACAUGAAGUGUUUCAUAUUUUA
ensembl:snRNA U6 U6 spliceosomal RNA